rnacentral:misc_RNA from 1 species
GAUGAAGAACGCAGCGAAAUGCGAUAAGUAAUGUGAAUUGCAGAAUUCAGUGAAUCAUCGAAUCUUUGAACGCAUCUUGCGCUCCUUGGUAUUCUGAGGAGCAUGCCUGUUUGAGUGUCAUUAAAUUCUCAACCGCACUGACUUUGAAUUGGUGUGGCUUGGAUUUGGGGGGAAAAUUGUUGUGGGCUUUUUUGUAUAGUCUGCUCCCCUGAAAUUGAUUAGCGGUACCUUUGUGGAACUGUCUACAGGUGUGAUAAUUAUCUACAUCCUAGACAUCUGCUGGAAUGCUGCUUUCUAAACCUUACUUGUAUUGACAAUCUUGACCUCAAAUCAGGUAGGACUACCCGCUGAACUUAAGCAGAUCAAUAAGCGGAGGA